AGUGAACGCUGGCGGCAGGCCUAACACAUGCAAGUCGAACGGGAGCACAGGGAGAGCUUGCUCUUACGGGCGGCGAGUGGGGGACGGGGGAGGUAUACAUCGGAAUCUACUUUUUCGUGGGGGAUAACGUCGGAAAACUUACUCUAACACCGCAUACGACCUACGGGUGAGAGCAGGGGAUGUUCGGACCUUGCGCGAGGGUAUGAGCCGAUGUCGGAUUCGCUAGUUGGCGGGGUAAAGGCCCAGCAAGGCCACGCUCGGUAACUGGUCCGAGAGGAUGAGCCGCCACACUGGACCUGGAGCACGGUCCAGACUCCUACGGGAGGGAGCAGGGGGGGAUAUUGGACAAUGGGCGCAAGCCUGAACCAGCCACACCGCGUGGGUGCAGGAGGCCGUCGGGUUGUAAAGCCCUUUUGUUGGGAAAGAAAGGCAGCAGCUUUAACCCCCGCUGUUAUGGCGGUAACCAGAAGAUAAGGCCCGGCUAACUUCGUG
rnacentral:rRNA from 1 species